UACGAAGGGUGCAAGCGUUACUCGGAAUUACUGGGCGUAAAGGGUGCGUAGGUGGUUUGUUAAGUCUGCUGUGAAAUCCCCGGGCUCAACCUGGGAAUGGCAGUGGAUACUGGCAAGCUAGAGUGCGGUAGAGGGUAGUGGAAUUCCCGGUGUAGCAGUGAAAUACGUAGAGAUCGGGAGGAACACCAGUGGCGAAGGCGGCUACCUGGACCAGCACUGACACUGAAGCACGAAAGCGUGGGGAGCAAACAGG
rnacentral:rRNA from 1 species